AUGCUCAGCUUCUGUAGCAUCUAUACUAAAAUGGCAACAGUACAGAAAUCAGCAUGGCUCCUGCACAAAGAUGGCCCACAAAUACAGGGAGCAUUCCAUAUUUCU